rnacentral:rRNA from 1 species
UUAAGCGACUAAGCGUACACGGUGGAUGCCCUGGCAGUCAGAGGCGAUGAAGGACGUGCUAAUCUGCGAAAAGCGUCGGUAAGGUGAUAUGAACCGUUACAGCCGGCGAUGUCCGAAUGGGGAAACCCAGUGCAAUUCGUUGCACUAUCGUUAACUGAAUACAUAGGUUAACGAGGCGAACCGGGGGAACUGAAACAUCUAAGUACCCCGAGGAAAAGAAAUCAACCGAGAUUCCCCCAGUAGCGGCGAGCGAACGGGGAGCAGCCCAGAGUCUGAAUCAGCUUGUGUGUUAGUGGAACGGUCUGGAAAGUCCGACGGUACAGGGUGAUAGUCCCGUACACCAAAAUGCACAGGCUGUGAACUCGAAGAGUAGGGCGGGACACGUGGUAUCCUGUCUGAAUAUGGGGGGACCAUCCUCCAAGGCUAAAUACUCCUGACUGACCGAUAGUGAACCAGUACCGUGAGGGAAAGGCGAAAAGAACCCCGGCGAGGGGAGUGAAAAAGAACCUGAAACCGUGUACGUACAAGCAGUGGGAGCACCUUCGGGUGUGACUGCGUACCUUUUGUAUAAUGGGUCAGCGACUUAUAUUCUGUAGCAAGGUUAACCGUAUAGGGGAGCCGCAGGGAAACCGAGUCUUAACUGGGCGUUAAGUUGCAGGGUAUAGACCCGAAACCCGGUGAUCUAGCCAUGGGCAGGUUGAAGGUUGGGUAACACUAACUGGAGGACCGAACCGACUAAUGUUGAAAAAUUAGCGGAUGACUUGUGGCUGGGGGUGAAAGGCCAAUCAAACCGGGAGAUAGCUGGUUCUCCCCGAAAGCUAUUUAGGUAGCGCCUCGUGAACUCAUCUUCGGGGGUAGAGCACUGUUUCGGCUAGGGGGUCAUCCCGACUUACCAACCCGAUGCAAACUACGAAUACCGAAGAAUGUUAUCACGGGAGACACACGGCGGGUGCUAACGUCCGUCGUGAAGAGGGAAACAACCCAGACCGCCAGCUAAGGUCCCAAAGUCAUGGUUAAGUGGGAAACGAUGUGGGAAGGCACAGACAGCCAGGAUGUUGGCUUAGAAGCAGCCAUCAUUUAAAGAAAGCGUAAUAGCUCACUGGUCGAGUCGGCCUGCGCGGAAGAUGUAACGGGGCUAAACCAUGCACCGAAGCUGCGGCAGCGACACUAUGUGUUGUUGGGUAGGGGAGCGUUCUGUAAGCCUGCGAAGGUGUGCUGUGAGGCAUGCUGGAGGUAUCAGAAGUGCGAAUGCUGACAUAAGUAACGAUAAAGCGGGUGAAAAGCCCGCUCGCCGGAAGACCAAGGGUUCCUGUCCAACGUUAAUCGGGGCAGGGUGAGUCGACCCCUAAGGCGAGGCCGAAAGGCGUAGUCGAUGGGAAACAGGUUAAUAUUCCUGUACUUGGUGUUACUGCGAAGGGGGGACGGAGAAGGCUAUGUUAGCCGGGCGACGGUUGUCCCGGUUUAAGCAUGUAGGCUGGUUAUCCAGGCAAAUCCGGAUAAUCAAGGCUGAGGUGUGAUGACGAGGCACUACGGUGCUGAAGUAACAAAUGCCCUGCUUCCAGGAAAAGCCUCUAAGCAUCAGGUAACAUCAAAUCGUACCCCAAACCGACACAGGUGGUCAGGUAGAGAAUACCAAGGCGCUUGAGAGAACUCGGGUGAAGGAACUAGGCAAAAUGGUGCCGUAACUUCGGGAGAAGGCACGCUGGUGUGUAGGUGAAGUCCCUGCGGAUGGAGCUGAGACCAGUCGAAGAUACCAGCUGGCUGCAACUGUUUAUUAAAAACACAGCACUGUGCAAACACGAAAGUGGACGUAUACGGUGUGACGCCUGCCCGGUGCCGGAAGGUUAAUUGAUGGGGUUAUCCGUAAGGAGAAGCUCUUGAUCGAAGCCCCGGUAAACGGCGGCCGUAACUAUAACGGUCCUAAGGUAGCGAAAUUCCUUGUCGGGUAAGUUCCGAC